UGGCUCUCGCAUCGAUGAAGAGCGCAGCGAAAUGCGAUAAGUAAUGUGAAUUGCAGAAUUCAGUGAAUCAUCGAAUCUUUGAACGCACCUUGUGCCCUUUGGCUAUUCUGAAGGGCAUGCCUGUCUGAGUAUCAUGAACACCUAACGUUUGAUCUCAAAUCAGGUAGGACUACCCGCUGA
rnacentral:misc_RNA from 1 species